rnacentral:rRNA from 1 species
UACGGAGGGAGCUAGCGUUAUUCGGAAUUACUGGGCGUAAAGCGCACGUAGGCGGCUUUGUAAGUAAGAGGUGAAAGCCCAGAGCUCAACUCUGGAAUUGCCUUUAGACUGCAUCGCUUGAAUCAUGGAGAGGUCAGUGGAAUUCCGAGUGUAGAGGUGAAAUUCGUAGAUAUUCGAAAGAACACCAGUGGCGAAGGCGGCUGACUGGACAUGUAUUGACGCUGAGGUGCGAAAGCGUGGGAGCAAACAGG